GAUGAACGCUAGCUACAGGCUUAACACAUGCAAGUCGAGGGGCAGCAUGGUCUUAGCUUGCUAAGGCCGAUGGCGACCGGCGCACGGGUGAGUAACACGUAUCCAACCUGCCGUCUACUCUUGGACAGCCUUCUGAAAGGAAGAUUAAUACAAGAUGGCAUCAUGAGUCCGCAUGUUCACAUGAUUAAAGGUAUUCCGGUAGACGAUGGGGAUGCGUUCCAUUAGAUAGUAGGCGGGGUAACGGCCCACCUAGUCUUCGAUGGAUAGGGGUUCUGAGAGGAAGGUCCCCCACAUUGGAACUGAGACACGGUCCAAACUCCUACGGGAGGCAGCAGUGAGGAAUAUUGGUCAAUGGGCGCAGGCCUGAACCAGCCAAGUAGCGUGAAGGAUGACUGCCCUAUGGGUUGUAAACUUCUUUUAUAAAGGAAUAAAGUCGGGUAUGGAUACUCGUUUGCAUGUACUUUAUGAAUAAGGAUCGGCUAACUCCGUG
rnacentral:rRNA from 1 species